CAAAAGUGCAAAUUUUAGGUUUGUGAGAAAAUAUAUUUAUAUUAUACUAUUUAUAGCAGUGAGCCCAGUGGUUUGUUUUGAUGAGCCAGCCUGCCUCAAAAGUCUCAUGUGUAAACACAGUCUCGGCAAAGAGGGUUACCUCGGCUAACUGGGAGAACCCGGCCUAGCUUCCUCCAUAUAAACGGCUCUGUAGACACAAAUGACUAUUUUCUUCAAUCUUUAGAAUUUCACCCUAUACCCUUGCAAUCAAUUGGAAAUCUUCUUGGUGCUGUCAGCCCAAAACCUGAGACAGUGGCGGA
rnacentral:lncRNA from 1 species